AACAAUAUAUGCUAGUCCAGACAAUAUAUUGUCUGAUGCAAACAAACGGCCAUUUUGCGACUCGAAAUCCGAGGCAAUUUCGAGGCAAUAAUAUUGUCUUUUGGAAAUUGUCCCAUUUCAUACAAUAUUGAGACCAUUUUGAUUUUUCUACCCAUAUUGUCCCUAAUUAUUUAUUGAAUGUCCGAAAAUAUCCCUGCCUUUUAAUUUGUUACGAAUCUCUCACAACACUCGUCUUUUCUCACAUCUGAAUAUUAGGGCACCGAGAUUGCAGACCUUGUUACGCCCUGCCGCACAUCGACCGGAAACAACCGGAGAAUAUCAACUUCAAGAAAUUUCGCUCAACUGGAUUACCUUUGCGUGAGGAACAGGAUAAGCUCUGGGGUGGUAACAGUGCCACUGGUGAUGAAUGCAUCUCUCCAGCCAUUGCUGAUAUUGAUGACAGCAGCACUCCACAGCCUGUUCAAGUUGAUUUGGAACAGGGUACUCAGGAUUUUUCAACAGGUUCCUCUCCUAUCAAAACAACCACAGUCAAUGAACCUUCUGGUUCUACUUCCAAAAGUCGUAAGAGGAAGAAUAAAACAACUGAAGAUGUCAUUAACCCUGAAUUUAGAGCAUUAUGCUUGGAUUUGAAGACCACUAGCUCAGAACAGCGUGACUAUUUUGCUAGCAAGAAGGUGUAUUAUGACAAGAUGACUGUUGAGCUUGAUGCUGUUAACACCUAUGAUCAAUGUGUCAAGGCAUUGGGUGAGCUGCAUAUCCAAGAGUCAUAUGAAGAUAUCUACUAUUUUGCAGUUGAGUUGUUUGCUUCUCGUGUCCAUAGGAAUUUGUUUCUCGCACUUCCACAUGAUGCUCGCUUUGGAUACAUUGAGAGGCUUUACAACAAGAGAGGUGGAUUUGCUCCAAGUGGCUAGUGUAUCAAGAGUCAUUUAGUUUAUUUUAAUGUUUUUAUUUCAAUUUCGUAUGCUGGAACUUUUUAUGUUUUUGGUAUUGGAUCUGAACCUUGAACCUUCUAUGUGCUUUACUUGAUGUAUUUUGGAAUCUUAACUAAUUAUCAAAUUUGUUUUCUAUGUUCUGUUUCUUA